UACGAAGGGGGCUAGCGUUGUUCGGAAUCACUGGGCGUAAAGGGCGCGUAGGCGGCUUUAUAAGUCGGGGGUGAAAGCCUGUGGCUCAACCACAGAAUUGCCUUCGAUACUGUAGAGCUUGAGACCGGAAGAGGUAAGUGGAACUGCGAGUGUAGAGGUGAAAUUCGUAGAUAUUCGCAAGAACACCAGUGGCGAAGGCGGCUUACUGGUCCGGUUCUGACGCUGAGGCGCGAAAGCGCGGGGAGCAAACAGG
rnacentral:rRNA from 1 species